GAUGAACGCUGGCGGCGUGCCUAAUACAUGCAAGUCGAGCGAACGGACGAGAAGCUUGCUUCUCUAAUGUUAGCGGCGGACGGGUGAGUAACACGUGGAUAACCUACCUAUAAGACUGGGAUAACUUCGGGAAACCGUAGCUAAUACCGGAUAAUAUUUUGAACCGCAUGGUUCAAAAGUGAAAGACGGUCUUGCUGUCACCUAUAGAUGGAUCCGCGCUGCAUUAGCUAGUUGGUAAGGUAACGGCUUACCAAGGCAACGAUGCAUAGCCGACCUGAGAGGGUGAUCGGCCACACUGGAACUGAGACACGGUCCAGACUCCUACGGGAGGCAGCAGUAGGGAAUCUUCCGCAAUGGGCGAAAGCCUGACGGAGCAACGCCGCGUGAGUGAUGAAGGUCUUCGGAUCGUAAAACUCUGUUAUUAGGGAAGAACAUAUGUGUAAGUAACUGUGCACAUCUUGACGGUACCUAAUCAGAAAGCCACGGCUAACUACGUG
rnacentral:rRNA from 1 species